rnacentral:rRNA from 1 species
UCAGGUGGCCGCAGAGAAUAGGCCCAAGCGACUGUUUACCAAAAACAUAGGUUUCUGCUAAGUCGCAAGACGAUGUAUAGGAGCUGACGCCUGCCCGGUGCUGGAAGGUUAAGGGGAUCUGUUAGAGCAAUCGAAGCAGUGAACUUAAGCCCCAGUAAACGGCGGCCGUAACUCUACCGGUCCUAAGGUAGCGAAAUUCCUUGUCGGGUAAGUUCCGACCCGCACGAAAGGCGUAACGAUUUGGGCACUGUCUCAACAACAGACUCGGUGAAAUUGUAAUUCCGGGGAAGAUGCCGGAUACCUGCGACAGGACGGAAAGACCCCAUGGAGCUUUAGUGUAGCUUGACAUUGGGUCUUGGUACUACAUGUACAGGAUAGGUGGGAGGCUUUGAAACCAGGACGCCAGUUUUGGCGG